AGAGUUUGAUCAUGGCUCAGAUUGAACGCUGGCGGCAUGCCUUACACAUGCAAGUCGAACGGCAGCGCGGGCUUCGGCCUGGCGGCGAGUGGCGAACGGGUGAGUAAUACAUCGGAACGUGCCCUGUUGUGGGGGAUAACUAGUCGAAAGAUUAGCUAAUACCGCAUACGACCUGAGGGUGAAAGCGGGGGACCGUAAGGCCUCGCGCAAUAGGAGCGGCCGAUGUCUGAUUAGCUAGUUGGUGGGGUAAAGGCCUACCAAGGCGACGAUCAGUAGCUGGUCUGAGAGGACGAUCAGCCACACUGGGACUGAGACACGGCCCAGACUCCUACGGGAGGCAGCAGUGGGGAAUUUUGGACAAUGGGGGCAACCCUGAUCCAGCAAUGCCGCGUGUGUGAAGAAGGCCUUCGGGUUGUAAAGCACUUUUGUCCGGAAAGAAAUCGCGCUGGCUAAUACCUGGCGUGGAUGACGGUACCGGAAGAAUAAGCACCGGCUAACUACGUGCCAGCCGCCGCGGUAAUAC
rnacentral:rRNA from 1 species